GCCCAGUUAGCUCAGACAGUAGAGCAUGAGAGACUUAAUCUCGGGCGUGGGUUCGAGCCACACGUUGGGUA